AUUUCGACGCUUGACAACCUGUCAACGACUCCGAUCCUCACAUUAAAUUAACUGUUACGAUAAAACUCCAUCUGUCAUUACACCACUUUAGAUUGUUAUCAGCAUCGGAAGCGUAUGAAUAUGUGUCUGUAAUACACCUGUAUUACACCAAGAUACUUCGGCUAAUUAUAACACGGAACACCUACCGUUGAGGUGAGUUUCGGGCCACACGUAACUUCGGCAAACACCACAUUGAUUCAACAGUCCGUCAGUCUCACUCAAUAAUCAACGAAAUUUCCACAACAGCUCCCGCUUCACAUGGUUUAAACCGCAGAGGACUCUCAUAUCAUCUCCGAAGUCCACUUUCAGGAGGUCCACGUCGAGUUGUAUUUCCACGGUUAUCUGUUAAACAAGCGCCUAAUAAUCUCAAGUCAGUCCUCGCGCGCGACUUUCUGGAAGAUUGACAUGCAAGUGGUGAACAACCAGAGCAAUAAUACACCUCUGACACAGCGUGUAUGAGCCUGAACUCCACUUUUUCAGCUGCCAAGCCGAGCUGUAAACGAGAGACGCUUAAUAUGAAAGAAAAGUUGAAAUGUUUCGUUUAGUGGAUGCAGAAAUUCCCGCGGCGAGGUCUGAGUGCUGAAGUCGUGCGGUAAGGUAUCUUCAUGAAAGGCGGUGAGGGGGACAACACAGCCAGUGGGAGUGAAAGAGGGCUGGUUUAGUAGAAGAGGAAUGGACAGAGUGAAAGAAGACAUUAUGGUGGAGGAAAAAAAGGACGAGGACCAUCUGCUAGCGGGCUUCCAAGAUGUUGGCACAGACAAGUUUGUGUCUAUAAACAUCAAAUGCAACAAGAAGCUUGUGCUCCAGACUUGAAGACGCAGACCGAUUGCUGAAGCUGUUUA
rnacentral:lncRNA from 1 species